rnacentral:rRNA from 1 species
UAAGGAAUAUUGGACAAUGGGCGCAAGCCUGAUCCAGCCAUGCCGCGUGAGUGAUGAAGGCCCUAGGGUUGUAAAGCUCUUUCACCGGUGAAGAUAAUGACGGUAACCGGAGAAGAAGCCCCGGCUAACUUCGUGCCAGCAGCCGCGGUAAUACGAAGGGGGCUAGCGUUGUUCGGAAUUACUGGGCGUAAAGCGCACGUAGGCGGAUCGAUCAGUUAGGGGUGAAAUCCCGGGGCUCAACCCCGGAACUGCCUCUAAUACUGUCGAUCUGGAGUUCGAGAGAGGUGAGUGGAAUUCCGAGUGUAGAGGUGAAAUUCGUAGAUAUUCGGAGGAACACCAGUGGCGAAGGCGGCUCACUGGCUCGAUACUGACGCCGAGGUGCGAAAGCGUGGGGAGCAAACA